rnacentral:miRNA from 1 species
CAUAGGUGCACUCAAAUGCC